GUCAGGGUAGCUCAGCUGGUUAGAGCACGGGAUUCAUAACCCCGAGGUCGGCGGUUCAAGUCCGCCCCUUGACACCA
rnacentral:tRNA from 1 species